AUGUCAACGAUCUUUAUAAAGUUGUUUGAAGCGUCUAUGAUAAACAGAGAGCAAAUUAGAAUCCAAGGAAGUUGACAUGUCAUCACUUCAUUUUUUUGCGCCUGCGCAUAAAUCUGAGAAACGUGAGUUUGUCAUCAUUUUUUAUCUAGACAUAGGAUAGGUUGUGUGAAAAUAUUACUGAUGUUUAACGUUAAAAAUGGACCAAAAGAUUAAUGCUAAACAACAUUUGACAUGUUUGAACGAACAUAAAUAGAUUAUUUACUAGGUUUUUUUAGCUUUUCGGCGUGAUUUGACCAACCCCCACGACAUUUUUUGGGGGCAUAAUGAACGCUAAGUACUUGGUGUUAUUUGGACAUAAAUUAUGAAACCACAUUUGUUCCGGACCUGGAAUGCCUUCCGGACCUGGGAUCCUGCCUUCUGAUGGAGAUAAUCAAAGUCCAGCCUGACAGCCAGCCCCAGCCUCACCCCCCAGCCUCAUCCAUUUCAAAGGCUCUGGGGUCAGCAGGUGAGCAUGGAGGCUGCAGUUUGUGUGGAAAGGAGUCUUCCUUCUCAAAAGUGAUGGUGCCAGUGCCAUGCUAUGUGUCUGGAGAGAAGGAGCAGGGAAGAGGAAAGGAGAGGACAGAGCUGGAUGAAGAGAGAGAGAGGGCGGUGAAAUCAGCCUGUUAGAACAGAACAAUUAAUCAGAGAGCAGGCAAUCACAAGGCUUCUGUGAGAGAGCAGCAUCUAGGUAAGGGGAGAGAGUGACAAAGACAACUUUGCCGUCAGUGAUCUCCGUAACAUGGUAAGAUGGUGAAGGGAAUGGGCAGGCUCAUGGAUCUGGUGGCCAGCACUGGAUCAAAGGUGGUCUUCACCAUGGAGCACUCAGCUAAGGUUGCAGCCCACACUUAAAGACAGCGUUCAAGUCACAAAUGGCCCCUGAUAUUGUAGCUUCCCAUGCCACUGGCGGGGACCAACAGAUGAUAAGAGACGGACCGAGACAAUCAUUGGAUUGACAGCCAUCACCAGCGAAGGAUCUCUUGGGUCCACUUCCAGCACUCACUGGGGUCCACUUAAAGACAGGCUCCGUAUGGACAGACAGCACUGUGGAGCCUAUCCCAGGCCAGCGGUAAUGCUAGCAAGCUGACUGACCCUCAGAGCACUUAGCUACAGACAGUUCAAAGAUUGGUCUCAUGCUUUAGCAGCUAGAAGAGGGUCUCAAAGGACUGUAACGAGCUGGGUCUGGACUUUGGUUAGUUUGUUUGCUUGUGUUUUCAAUCAGGUGGAUUACCUGCCAUGAAAUGCUCAAUAACAAAAGUACUGUACGCUGCCAGGAAGCACCCAGAAAAAUCUCAUUUUUAAGUCCUUACUCCAUUUUUAAUCUGUUUGUUUUGAUCUUAUACACAUGGUGGUUCACAGUAACUUUUUGUCACCCUAUUGAUGUUUUUAUCUAAUGUAUUACUUGUAUGCUGGAUUGUCCUUUAUACUCAAAUACACCCAAAUGUUUUCCUCAAGUAAUUAGUAUUAUUUUUAAUGAGUUAGGGAGCUCUGGGCCUUCUGUUUUUAUCAAUGGGGAAGUUGAGGUUGAUGAUUACCAGGCUAUUAGUAUGUUAGUUUACUACCAUGAGAUACUUCAGUAGGUUUUAUAUUUCCACCCACGGCAUUGUGAGCCUCUUCUGUGUGUGGUGGGAGGAGAGCGGUAAUAAUGGCAGGAAACAAUGACUCUCUACAGUGACAUGUUCAAGGUAAAUAAACACAGAGCUGGAGCGAGAGAGAGCGGGAGAGCCACCUGUUCAGUGAUGGAUAGUCCCUUGAACAACAACACACUACCCGAGGUCAACACUCUCUCUCUCUCUAUCUUUCUCUUUCCCCAUCUCUCUCUCUUUCUCUCCCCAUCUCUCUCUCUCUCUGUCCAUGUGUUCCUUUGUUCCUCAUCCAGAUCCUCAUCCAUGAUGUAUCAUCUCCCAGUUUCCAAACCCAACUCCCAUAGUUUCCCUCCUUCCCUGCCUCCCUUCCUUCGUCUUUCCUAUAGCCUCUAUCUCCUUUCCUCCCUACUUCCCUUCCUGCCUACCUCCCAAAGCUUUCCUUCGCUCCCUCCCUUGCUCCAUCCCGCCCUCUCUGCAUGCCUGCCUGGCGCUCUCCUCUCAAAGCUGUCGUCUCUGCUCUGCUCUGACACUGUCACACAUGUUCUUGUGUGUUUGUCUCCGUCUCUGAGGGGAAAGAUUCAGAAUCUAAUUACCAGGUUGUUUUGUAAUUAAUUUGCAGUAAACACCUAACUCAAUUAGGCAGCAAGUAUGAUUCUCCUCUCUCCUUCACCCACCAAGAUGGUGAUGAUGUUUGGAGCACUCCAACGACUUUCUCACCAGCCAAACUGUAAGGGCGAGGACCCUGGUCUUUUUCCUCUCCCUGCACAAUUAAUGCUUCGUAUUAAUUGUUGUUUCUGUUUAGUUAUGAGUGAAUACAAUUAUGUAAAGAUACUGUAGGACCAACUCUAAUGAUAACAGCAUUUCUAUUUAAUUGUGAAUAGGGAGAUUGAAGCCAGAUUCUAUUCAAGCAUUUUGUUUUAUAAUGAACACCCUCAAAGAUUUUACCAGUGAAAUACUUUUGCUGUGCUGUGAAACUGGUUAUGUUGGAAUUAUGGAAAUAAUUGCUCACCCCAAGAAAUCCCUUAAAAAUGUUCAGUGUACGAUAACAGACUUUUCGGGACCUAGUAGAACAUAUAAAUGUCAUAAGAGACAUGUCAAGUUUUCUGUAAGGCGCUAGUACAUAAGGGGCAUCUGCCAAGAGAUAGCAGUGAAUAUGCCAUCUCAUGUCAUAUGAUCCUAGUGGAGAUGUAAAUCUGCCAGGGGUUUCGAGGGAAAAUCCCUUAUAAUCUUCCUCUCACUGUGUGAAUGUCACUAAUACUGCAAAUGCUUAUACUGCACAAUUUAAACACGCUCCCCAAUCCCCCUUCCCUGAUACAUGUGUAAAUAUUGGACUAUAAAUUAUGCCUUCUUGUAUUAGACUUAUGUAUUAGAUUAUUCUAUUCUACUGAGCCAUCUACUUUAUGUUCAUAUUCUUAUAUUUUGUUAUUUCUUAUUGUUGCAUUGUCGAGAAGGAACCUGCAAGUAAGCAUUUCAUUGGACGAUGUAUACCAUAUGUAUCCUGUACUUACGACUAAUAAAACCUGAAACUUGGCAUGUUGUUUGAUGGCAAGAUAUGACAUAGACAAUUCAG
rnacentral:lncRNA from 1 species